UACGGGGGGAGCAAGCGUUGCUCGGAUUUACUGGGCGUAAAGGGCGCGUAGGCGGCCUGUGCAAGUCAGUUGUGAAAUCUCCGGGCUUAACUCGGAACGGUCAACUGAUACUGCUCGGCUAGAGUGCGGAAGGGGCAACUGGAAUUCUUGGUGUAGCGGUGAAAUUCGUAGAUAUUAGGAAGAACACCAGUGGCGAAGGCGGCUCACUGGCCCGGUACUGACGCUCAUGUGCGAAAGCGUGGGGAGCAAACAGG
rnacentral:rRNA from 1 species